rnacentral:rRNA from 1 species
AUUGAACGCUGGCGGCAUGCCUUACACAUGCAAGUCGAACGGCAGCACGGGAGUAAUCCUGGUGGCGAGUGGCGAACGGGUGAGUAAUGUAUCGGAACGUGCCCAGUCGUGGGGGAUAACGCAGCGAAAGCUGUGCUAAUACCGCAUACGAUCUGUGGAUGAAAGCGGGGGAUCGCAAGACCUCGCGCGAUUGGAGCGGCCGAUAUCAGAUUAGCUAGUUGGUGGGGUAAAGGCUCACCAAGGCGACGAUCUGUAGCUGGUCUGAGAGGACGACCAGCCACACUGGAACUGAGACACGGUCCAGACUCCUACGGGAGGCAGCAGUGGGGAAUUUUGGACAAUGGGCGCAAGCCUGAUCCAGCAAUGCCGCGUGCAGGAUGAAGGCGUUCGGGUUGUAAACUGCUUUUGUACGGAGCGAAAAGGCUCUCUCUAAUACAGGGGGCUCAUGACGGUACCGUAAGAAUAAGCACCGGCUAACUACGUGCCAGCCGCCGCGGUAACAC